rnacentral:rRNA from 1 species
UGGGGAAUAUUGGACAAUGGGCGCAAGCCUGAUCCAGCCAUGCCGCGUGAGUGACGAAGGCCUUAGGGUUGUAAAGCUCUUUUGGCGGGGACGAUAAUGACGGUACCCGCAGAAUAAGCCCCGGCUAACUUCGUGCCAGCAGCCGCGGUAAUACGAAGGGGGCUAGCGUUGUUCGGAAUUACUGGGCGUAAAGCGCACGUAGGCGGAUGUGCCAGUCAGGGGUGAAAUCCCGAGGCUCAACCUCGGAACUGCCUCCGAUACAGCACGUCUCGAGUCCGGAAGAGGUGAGUGGAAUUCCUAGUGUAGAGGUGAAAUUCGUAGAUAUUAGGAAGAACACCAGUGGCGAAGGCGGCUCACUGGUCCGGUACUGACGCUGAGGUGCGAAAGCGUGGGGAGCAAACAGGAUUAGAUACCCGAGUAGUCCCUGAGCGGGCUGGCAAGGCG